UUUAAGUAUUUAUUCUCUUAAAAUAAAUUUUGCAAUCUGUAAUUUUUUAAUAAGUGAGAGGGUAGGUAAGGCAUUGAAUUUUGAGCCCUGAAAUCGUGUCAUAAGACAAAAAUGCUGCCCCGUUAUACAAGCAGAUGAGGAUCUAACAUUUUCUUUUGUUAGAUGGUGUGAAUAAUUGAAAGAACACAAAUUUAUUUUAUUGGCAUCUCAACCUUAUGUUUCAUUGACAAAUACCUUAUAAGUCAAUAGAACUAGUCUUUAUCUGAUUGAACUAGCCCUUGUAUUUUUAUUUUUAUAUUAGCCAUCUGAUUUCUAGGGGAAAAGGGUCUCG
rnacentral:lncRNA from 1 species